rnacentral:misc_RNA from 1 species
GAUGAGAACGCAGCGAAAUGCGAUAAGUAAUGUGAAUUGCAGAAUUCCGUGAAUCAUCGAAUCUUUGAACGCACAUUGCGCCCCCUGGUAUUCCGGGGGGCAUGCCUGUCCGAGCGUCAUUGCAACCUUCAAGCGCGGCUUGUGUGUUGGGUCUCGUCCCCCGUGGACGGGCCCGAAAGGCAGUGGCGGCGUCCCGACAUGGUGCCCGAGCGUAUGGGAAUCCUCUUCCGCUCGAAUCGGCCCAUGCGGCGCUGGUCGUAACCAAAUUUUUUACCGGUUGACCUCGGAUCAGGUAGGGAUACCCGCUGAACUUAAGCAUAUCAAUAAGCGGAGGA